rnacentral:lncRNA from 1 species
AUCCGGACAGAAGCCACUGGCCAGCACUGACGUUCCACGAGGAGCCCAGAGGAUGCGACGAUCAUCUGCCCAUUAUUUUUACUCUCGGACCCCCCACCUCCGGAGUCUGGGGGUCCCUCUGUGUCAGUGGGAACCGGGAGGAGCUCGAGCCUGAGUGCUAGCUGCGUUUGCGAGAUUUCAGGGGGUUUGAGCUAAGCCAGAGGUGGUCCACGUCGGCCCUCCUCCCUCCCCAACCCCCC